rnacentral:rRNA from 1 species
CGCCGCGUGGGUGAAGAAGGCUUUCGGGUCGUAAAGCCCUGUCAGGUGGGAAGAACCGUUUCGAUACUAAUAAUGUCGAAGCCUGACGGUACCACCAAAGGAAGCACCGGCCAACUCCGUGCCAGCAGCCGCGGUAAUACGGAGGGUGCAAGCGUUGUUCGGAAUUAUUGGGCGUAAAGAGCGUGUAGGCGGUUCGGUAAGUCAGAUGUGAAAGCCCUGGGCUCAACCCAGGAAGUGCAUUUGAAACUACCGGACUUGAGUACGGGAGAGGAGGGGGGAAUUCCCGGUGUAGAGGUGAAAUUCGUAAAUAUCGGGAGGAAUACCAGUGGCGAAGGCGCCCCUCUGGACCGAUACUGACGCUGAGACGCGAAAGCGUGGGGAGCAAACAGGAUUAGAUACCCUGGUAGA